CACUUCCUGUCUGGUACCAACGGAGGUGCAGUUUUAACAAAGUGUGGGAUUCUUCCCAGGGAGGUGACCAACCCCUGCCACCAGAGAAGCAAGUUGAAUCCUGAUCUGUGUUAUUGCAAUGUCUGGUUGAUUUGUACUUGAGGUUUCCGGAGCAAAAACUUUGUUACUAAAUACCUGGCGCAA